AUACGGGUGGGAAAAAAAUAUAAUGUGAACUCUUUCAAAAGAAACAAGUCAUCUUUCUCUUUCCAUUGACGUGAACACCAUUUAUUACCAACUCCUUCCUUCCCGGUUCCCACCCACCUUCCCGGCAGAGACCCACGUCGUUAUCGCUCCUCUCAGUAAGGAGAAGAAAGAAGAAAACAACCAGACUCUAGGAAACGAAGACCUUAAUUUACAUCAAAGAAAGGAAACGAAGACCUCAAGUCUUCUUCCCUAAACCAGACUUCGGAUGUUCUUCACCCUCUCACCUUCCCAUCAAACACAUUUCUUGAAGGUCCCACUA
rnacentral:lncRNA from 1 species